rnacentral:misc_RNA from 1 species
UACGGAGGGUGCAAGCGUUGUCCGGAUUUAUUGGGUUUAAAGGGUGCGUAGGCGGUCAACUAAGUCAGUGGUGAAAGGCAACAGCUCAACUGUUAGUAUUGCCAUUGAUACUGGAUGACUUGAGUACAGAUGAGGUAGGCGGAAUUUAUGGUGUAGCGGUGAAAUGCAUAGAUACCAUAAAGAACACCGAUUGCGAAGGCAGCUUACUAAGCUGUAACUGACGCUGAGGCACGAAAGCGUGGGGAUCAAACAGG